rnacentral:lncRNA from 1 species
CUUUACUAAACUCCCGAAAUUAAUUGCCGUAGGAAAUAAUUGCGAAAAUUUUCCAUUAAAAGUAUGAUGAAUUUUUGCACAUUUUUAAAGAUUAAAAAGUUGGCACUUUUAUUUUUACGAAUAUGUUAACGGCGGCCGGCCAUAUUGGUCAAUUUAAUUUUAUAAAGUUCAUAAAUGCGCAUUUUAUUUAAUCUGUCAGGCAAGUUAACAUUAUCGGUAUGUUUUAAUGGCAUCAAAAAUAUUAACAGUUACACGAAUAUCUUUUAUGUUAACACGUGUGCGUUCCUGGAAUAUGCACUAUUCGUGAAUAAUAAAAAUACCGAAAACCCAUUUUACAGGGAAGAAAACCGCAAAAUUACGCAUAUUAAAACCAUUCGUGAAAUUCGCAUUUUUGUGGAAGAAAGAUGAUUGGGGAGGGAAAGAGAAAUAUCCACAUCAAUUAACAAACAACCGUGAAGCGCACACAUAUUUAAAGAAACGUCAAUGAAAUCUAUCCACUCUUGACAGUCAUUUAUUUUCACAUCCCAAUAAUUUAGUCUAUUAUCAUCUUCAUUGGAGUGAUAAAAGCGUGACGAACAUUGCAAGAAAAAAGGGGAAGGGGGAAAAAAAAGAAACUUCAUUGAAUACCAUAAACUAAAAAAAAAAAACAUUUAUCAAUGGAGUAACUCUGGAGAAAACUAAAAGUAACAUCUUAAACAACAAAUAAAAUUACCAAAAUGUAGGUUAAUGGUUACUGAACAAUUAGUGUUUUAAAGUCGUGCCAAUGGGAAGUCAUAAACAUUCGCUAACUCAGUGGCGCCUUACAAGGAAACCUUUCACGACCUAAAUACUAAUUUAUCAUUUUUAAUUUAUAUAAAUCACAUUGAUAACUUUUAAUAAUCAAGCCCGAAGAAAGGCACAAGAAGAGCACAAUGGCUAAACCCCCCGUUCUCUCUUUUUGGAAUCAGCGGGGUGCAGGAAUAAGGAGUUAAACCGCACCCUCUUUUACUUCAGGGAAUAUCCCUUUUCUCCCCUGCAAUCUGGAAUGAAGCAGCAGCUGUCUAUUCCCUGGAUAGAAAUCAAUGAAGAGAAGUUCGAAACAAUGAAGGAAGACUAAGCAGCAGUUCUAUAGGAUCUUGUCUACUAGGGGAUUUGGGGCCCCCUUUACCCACCUACUGCGAUAAGGAGCUUCUGCAUCAGUCUUAGGGGAAAGAAAAAGAAAAAAUAUAUAUAUAUGAAAGACGUUUAGGUUUAAACAAAAUAAAUUCUAAAUAUGCCGAGACGGAAGAACACACGUAUUGUAUGCAGAAUUUAAACGUUCUGAAAUAUAUCGCGCAACCAUUUUUUACGCUACGAAACGUGUUAGAAAUAAUGGAAGACACGCAAUAAACGGGUAAAAGACGUUAAUUAAAGAAAAAUAGAACGGAAAUAUCUUCGAUGACCCGCUUUAUCCGGAUUUUUAGAUAAGAUUACUGUCGUAAGUAGUUACGACUUAUUAAUUAAAGUUAGGCUUUUUAUUCAUCAAUGCGUUGGUUUACA